rnacentral:rRNA from 1 species
GAUGAACGCUGGCGGCGUGCCUAAUACAUGCAAGUCGAGCGAACAGACGAGGAGCUUGCUUCUCUGACGUUAGCGGCGGACGGGUGAGUAACACGUGGAUAACCUACCUAUAAGACUGGGAUAACUUCGGGACACCGGCGCUAAUACCGGAUAAUAUUUUGAACCGCAUGGUUCAAUAGUGAAAGACGGUCUUGCUGUCACUUAUAGAUGGAUCCGCGCCGUAUUAGCUAGUUGGUGAGGUAACGGCUCACCAAGGCAACGAUACGUAGCCGACCUGAGAGGGUGAUCGGCCACACUGGAACUGGGACACGGUCCAGGCUCCUACGGGAGGCAGCAGUAGGGAAUCUUCCGCAAUGGGCGAAAGCCUGACGGAGCAACGCCGCGUGAGAGAUGAAGGUCUUCGGAUCGUAAAACUCUGUUAUUGGGGAAGAACAAAUGCGUAAGUAACUGUGCGCGUCUUGACGGUAACUAAUCAAAAAGCCACGGCUAACUACGUG